CUUUGCAGUAGCGAGUAAAACAGAUGUGGUAACUGCUUACAAGACGGCUUACAGAACAGUCAACAAGGAAUCAGAUGAAGGAACUAAGACACAGAAAAGUGAACUCAUGUAUUUGGAAGCUCUCUGUUUGAAGAUUACACAAGCUGAGGGGAAUUUGGACAUACGGAGAGAGGAGAACGCCCUGAAAAGACACAGAGAGAGGCACAGAGGGAAGACAGCCAUGCGAGGUGGAGGCUGAGGCUGGCAUUGUACAGCUGUAAGCCAAGAAACACCAAGGAUUUCCAGAAAUCUCAAGAAGCCAGAAGAGAAGCGUGGAACAGUUGCUCCCUCUGAGCCGCCAAGAAGGAACCCAUCCUGUUGAUACCUUGAUUUUGCACAGCUGGGCUCCAGGACUGUGAGAGAGUAAAUUUUUAUUGUUUUAAGCU